UACGAAGGGGGCUAGCGUUGCUCGGAAUCACUGGGCGUAAAGCGCACGUAGGCGGCUUCUUAAGUCAGGGGUGAAAUCCUGGAGCUCAACUCCAGAACUGCCUUUGAUACUGAGGAGCUUGAGUUCGGGAGAGGUGAGUGGAACUCCGAGUGUAGAGGUGAAAUUCGUAGAUAUUCGGAAGAACACCAGUGGCGAAGGCGGCUCACUGGCCCGAUACUGACGCUGAGGUGCGAAAGCGUGGGGAGCAAACAGG
rnacentral:rRNA from 1 species